AUUGGGUUUCUCUCAGCAGUAGCAUCACUUGGAGUCUGAAACAGCCUGUGUGAGGCUCGUUUUGAUUCACCCCAGCUGUUGGCAAUAGCUUGCUCCUUUUCGCUUCUCCUUCUGCAAGGCUUCCCCCAAAUGGGCAAUUAAUUAGAUGCACAUGGGGCAAGCAGACAGCUUUCACCAGUGCCAUCACCAGCCCUUGAAUACUUAAACCAUGCUGGGUCAUGUAGGGGUCUGCAUCCCUCCCUGGGCCACAUCUGGGACUCAUUCAGGUGCUAUUUUGGUGGUGGGAGCGGGCCAAAACUCCAUCCCUGGGAUGCUCUGGCUUGCAGCUUCUCUCCACUCUGAACAUUUCCAUUCCCCAUGCUUGGCCCUGCAGUGUGCCUCUUGUCCCAGCAGGCUGUGGUGGCAGCAGUCAUGGCAGUGGAGGAGUUUGACACCAAAGAAAUGAGAGGCACUGAGAUUUCCUCCACACCUGAGCUGAAUGAGAACUGAAUGUGGCUGUUAAAGAGACAGGGAAGGGGAGAGUAGGACAGAGAUGGAGGUGAGAUUGGAUUAAUCCUUGCCAAAUCGUAUAAAACCGACAGCCUCAACAACAGCAAAAGCCCCAACAACUAAAGUUAUUAAUUUGUUGGUGACAGAAGCUCCAGGGGUAUGUGCUGGGAGCAGGGCAAGUGCCUCAUGGAGAUGGGCAAACAGCUUUACCCCAAACCCAGGCAGGAGAUGCUGGUUGUGGAGAAGGUGACCUAUGGAGGCAGGUCUGGAUGCAGCUAUGGGGCUACCACCAUGGCUCCUGUCCAUGGUGUGUGGGAAGGCUGCAGGUAUUGUAAGAACACUGGGCUCCUCAUGGGACCGACCUGACUUGUGCGUGGGCUGCGCUUCUGCCUGGCUCUGCUUGUUUCCCUCUUUGUGCCAACACCAUGUACCCAAGAAUAGAGGAGUUGUUACUGCUGGAAGAGGAGGCAAAAUCAGGCAUCUAAUAUGAAACAUGGGAAGAAAUUAAAAUCCCACAACAAGUUUUCCCUCUUUUAUUUUUUGUUCUCCUUAAAGAAGAGAAGCUCAGGGGUUUGGGAGCCUGCAACAAGCCUUUAGCUUGAUCUUUUGGCUCCGAACCUAUCCUAUUAUGAGCACAACCCCCAUAAUUUGCCAGGGUCUGGUGCAACUGGUGCGGGAUGUAACAUGCGUAGCCUGCUCUGCCAGGGUGACACUGCCCAGGACUAAACGGCUCUGAUAAAAAUUAAAUGUUGCUCUUAACAUGCCUUUCCUCACUCUGAUUCUUGCAGUUGGGCCAUAUAGAGCAGCUGCUAAUUUGAAUAGUUUCUGUGGCUCCCUUCAGACAGUCUUUGCAGCAGUUGUGUGUUUUAAUUGGCCUGUGGAAAGACAUUACACCCUCCUGAGCCAUUUGAGAGACCUACUCACCCCCACAAACGGUGACAUAUGAUUUUUACUGCACAGAAGCCAAACAUAACAAAUCAACAAAUAGCCCAUGGUAUCUGAUAAUUCAUGUGACGUAUGUGAAUAAUUGCCUAGAAACUUGCAGGAAGACACUCAAACUUUUUAUUUUUAUUUUCCCCUUCUGAUUGUGACAAAUGAACUGUGAGUAUCAGGUUGUGUGUUUUGGCUCUUAGCAGGAGCGGAGCUAAUGCUUUGAGUCCAGUCCAUCUCAGA